GGGAGCGGGGGGCGAGGGGAGGCCUUGCUGCCGCUGCCGGCCCCGGCUCGGCCGGUCUACGGGCUGACUGCGGGCCGCCUCAGUGCGCAGUUGCUAAGCCCAAGAUGAAGCAUCUUCCCAUUCAUAUCUUUUAAAAUGCACUAAAGACUUUUAACUAAAGCAUGGCCUGAAGAAAGUUAAUGAAGUUGUUAGUAGGCUGCGUCAGAAAUGAAAAGGCUGUGGAUGGUUCUGGUCUUUUCCUUCAGGCCUUCAUGAAUCAUGAAAAUGACAGAAAGUUGAUUUUUUCUGAAGGAGCAGCAGCUGUAAGUGAAAAAAGAAGAGGAAAAAUCAAGAACAAAAUUAAGCAAUGGAAAGCUGAUGACAAGAGCCACUACUGGUGCUGACCAAUCUGUUGCAAGCUGAAAUUUUCUUGCAUCUUAAUGGAGCUUGUGACCUAAUUUACAAAGUCUUGUUAAUAUACUUUUUUAGAAGGGUCAAACUUUUUUCCUGCUAAAGAUCAUGUACUUCAACUAAGAAAUCUUUCCUCACCUACAGUAUCUACAGUAUGCAUUACAGUAUAAUGUGUUCAUACAGUAUAUGAACAUAUUAAUAAGUCAUGAGCAAUAAUCCUGGAGUAUUUCACACCCCUUUGCCCUGUCCUCACUUUUCAUUUACAGUUAAAGAAUGAUACAAAGAAUUCCUUUUUGUGUUUGUUUGUCAUGACCAGUGCAAAUAAUCACAUGGGCUUAUGAAGGCAGAAAGUUAUCUAGCAGCAGGCUCAUCCACUUCCAGUUUGGAGAUGAAUGUAGUUUCAAACAGAAAUAAAAUGACAUUCUGAAAAUCCACAGAUGGAUUUUCAAACAGAUCCACAAAAUGGACCUAUUAAUAGUGAGAGAAAUAAGAAGCGUGAAAAGAAUACUCCAUGUAAAAUUUAACAUGCCACAUUUAGGUAAAAAUCUUGAUUUUAAUAUCAAAAAUACUCUGCGCAUUCAAAUUGAAUUAUGCAGAUUAUUACUUCUGAAAAUGGUUGCACCUCUUGAUCGAAGAGGUCAAGAGCUGCAUCAAGGCCUUACAUACCUUACAUGAAGCACACCUCAGAUGGGAAGGACACUGCAGGAAUAUUUAUAUUUUCAAAGCAUUCUUCAUAUUUCAGUGACAGCUGAAUGUGACAUCCCUUAAAGAAAGAAAGAAAACAGACAAAUGCUUUUUCAUUAAAUGAAUGAACCAGCUCAGAAAUAUUGAAGGGAUGUCUAGUGAACUAUAAUGAUCGUAGGACAUGCAACAAUAUGUUGUGGAGGGAAUACACCUGUCACUAUCCUAAUCUGGAUUCCUCAGAGAGGAUACUAAGAUCCAUUCCAUUUCAUGAUUUGUUCAUGCAGACUACAUAAAAUACACUGUAAAAAUGAGUUAUUUUCCAUAACAACGUUUUGGCAAAUGAAACCAAAACGGGUUGCUAUGACAGUUCUCACAAAUCUUUCUAUUUUAUCUGGGUUUUGUAUUAUAAAUAUGUCAAGAUGAAGCAAUUUCUGUCAAAACAGAAUUUUUUCCUUUUGGGAAAGUUUCCUUGGCAUUUUUUUUAAUACCUUAAUUUUCAGUAUUUGUCAAAGUCAGGAUGAAGACUAAUUUCAAAUGCUCUAACUUCCAUCUGCAUCAUCAUAAACCCAUGGGAACAUAGCUUUAGUAUUAUAAAUGAGUCAUGUCAUUGGAUACAGUGUUGUUAGUUUAAUUGACUUUGUUUACUGCUCUGUAUAACGAGUGACUGAAAAAUAAAUGACACUCAACAUUG